GAACGCACCUUGCGCUCUUUGGUAUUCCGAAGAGCAUGCCUGUUUGAGUGUCAUGUAGACUCAAUCCCUCGGGUUUCCGAGGAGAUUGGACUUGGGUGUUGCCGCUCUGCCGGCUCGCCUUAAAAGACUUAGCGGGAUAGCACCGUAGUCGGCGUAAUAAGUUUCGUCGGUGAAGGUUGUGAUGACUGCUUACAAUCGCCCUCGGGCAAUUUUUGACUCUGACCUCAAAUCAGGUAGGACUACCCGCUGAACUUAAG
rnacentral:misc_RNA from 1 species